rnacentral:snoRNA from 1 species
UCUGCAUGAUGAUAAGCAAAUAACUGACUUGAUGUGAAGGCCUUAAUUAUCUCUCUGGU